GACGAACGCUGGCGGCGUGCUUAACACAUGCAAGUCGAACGGAAAGGCCCUGCUUUUGUGGGGUGCUCGAGUGGCGAACGGGUGAGUAACACGUGAGUAACCUGCCCUUGACUUCGGGAUAACUUCAGGAAACUGGGGCUAAUACCGGGUAGGAGCUCCUGCUGCAUGGUGGGGGUUGGAAAGUUUCGGCGGUUGGGGAUGGACUCGCGGCUUAUCAGCUUGUUGGUGGGGUAGUGGCUUACCAAGGCUUUGACGGGUAGCCGGCCUGAGAGGGUGACCGGCCACAUUGGGACUGAGAUACGGCCCAGACUCCUACGGGAGGCAGCAGUGGGGAAUAUUGCACAAUGGGCGGAAGCCUGAUGCAGCAACGCCGCGUGCGGGAUGACGGCCUUCGGGUUGUAAACCGCUUUCGCCUGUGACGAAGCGUGAGUGACGGUAAUGGGUAAAGAAGCACCGGCUAACUACGUG
rnacentral:rRNA from 1 species